rnacentral:rRNA from 1 species
UACAGAGGUCUCAAGCGUUGUUCGGAUUCAUUGGGCGUAAAGGGUGCGUAGGCGGCGCGGUAAGUCGGGUGUGAAAUCCCGGGGCUUAACUCCGGAACUGCAUUCCAUACUGCGGUGCUUGAGGACUGGAGAGGAGACUGGAAUUUACGGUGUAGCAGUGAAAUGCGUAGAGAUCGUAAGGAAGACCAGUGGCGAAGGCGGGUCUCUGGACAGUUCCUGACACUGAGGCACGAAGGCCAGGGGAGCAAACGGG